UACGGGGGGGGCAAGCGUUGUUCGGAAUUACUGGGCGUAAAGGGCUCGUAGGCGGCCAACUAAGUCAGACGUGAGAUCCCCAGGCUUAACCUGGGAACUGCGUCUGAUACUGGAUGGCUUGAAUUCGGGAGAGGGAUGCAGAAUUCCAGGUGUAGCGGUGAAAUGCGUAGAUAUCUGGAGGAAUACCGGUGGCGAAGGCGGCAUCCUGGACCGACAUUGACGCUGAGGAGCGAAAGCUAGGGGAGCAAACGGG
rnacentral:rRNA from 1 species